ACCUUUGUUCUUCCAUGUGAAUUGAGUUAUUGUUUUUUCACUGUGUGAACUAAUCCUUUGGUAGUUUGAUUGGUUUGGCUCUGCACAAUUAAGUUAUUUUAGAUGGUUUUGUUUUACUGGAUUGGUUUGGUCUGCAUAUGAAUAAGCAAUAUUUCUUCAAUUAUUGGUCUGUUUUUGUUUCCAUAAUGAAUUCUUUAUAGUUGUGUUCAUAGUGUGUGUGUGUGUGUGUGUUGAGAGGUACAUUCCCCCAAUUUACCUUUCUUAUUAUGCACUAUUUCUCUUCCUACUUUCUUUGUUCUAUACAAAUUAGUCUUGCUAUUUCUCACAUUUAUCCUGGUGCCAUUGCACUAAGCAUCUAGAUGACUGAAAUUCAUUUCCUUCUCACUUUCUCUUUCAUAGAAUUCUUUACUUCCUUCAAGAUAUCACAAUGGAACUUACACAAUUGAGUCGGAAGGGAAAAUUUCCAGGGCUUUUUAAAGGUCCAUUGACCCAGGGCAGAUGAGGAAACUUGGGUCCAAAGAUAGUUAACUGACAUGACCAGGUGGUGAAGUGCCCAGACUGUUUCUCUUCAGCCAAAUGGAGAUGGUCCAGAUGAUCCAGACCCACAAUUUUGUUGGUGUGAAUAAUGUCUGUUAUGAAAACUCCCUUCCCUCUCUAACAUACUCAGUAACUCAUCUGGGACUCAAUGACAGGU